GUGUGUGUGUGUGUGUGUGUGUGUGUGUGUGUGUGUGUAGAUGAUAGGGCUUGUUUUUAACUGUGUGUGUGCUUGCUGGAGACCCACUUGGGGCCCUUGGACAUACUAAACACAAACUCUCCCACCAAGGUGCACCCCAGCCCUGACCCAUCAUCAGCUGCAGGAACAGCCGCUCAGCGGAGCUCCUGGGUGAUGCUGGGUGCAGGGAGCCCUUGUGCCCCUCCCCCAAUCUCACUUUGGUGGUUAAAGUCUGGUCUGAGGUAGAAUGGAUGUCUCCCUUUCUGUUUCGUGAACUAUGAAGAACAUAGCAGUGAAGUCAGGUAUGGCGGUGAAAACCUGCAUAAGAAUUAAUUAAGCCAGGAGUGGUGGCACACACAUUUAAUUCUCAGCACUGGGGAGGCAGAGGCAGGUGGAACUCUAGGAGGCCAGCCUGGUCUACAUAGUGAGACCCUGUCUUAAAAAAGAAAAGGGUUGGGGUUUUGGAGCUGGAGAGGUAUCAGUUAAGAGUGUUAGCUGCUCAGUUCGCCGCAAUGCAGAGUGGCUCACAAUUGCCUGUAGGUCCAGCUUCAGGGGAUGCAAUGCUCCUCUGGCCUCUGCAGUUGCAGUUGUACACACAUGACAAAUUUGAAAAAAGAAAGAAACUGGUUAAGAGAAUUAGAGGAAUUCAUCAAUGCCCAGUGAAAUAAAAACUUGUAGCAUAAGAAUUUGACGAACAGUCCCAGAUAAAGGUUAUUUUCAGAAGAAAUACCAUUCUACUGCUUUUAAAAACAGCAUACUAAGGUAACUCACAGCAGUGAAUUUGUAGGGAAAAAAAUUGGAUUCCAUAUUUUUUUGUUUGUUUUUCAAGAUAAGGUUCAGCUCUGGCUGUCCUGAACUCCCUUUGUAGACGAGGAGGCUGGCCUCUAACUCACAGAGGUCCACCUGCCUCUGCCUCCUGAGUGCUAGGAUUAAAGGCGUGCGCCACCAUUAUGUGGCUGGAUUCCAUAAUUCUUAUUGCUUGCGAUAAUAAUAACAACCUUGAAUAUCUGAUCUUUAGCCUGCCCUUAUCUCCCAAAUCCUGAGACUACAAGCAUGCACCACCAUCACCUGGCUUGCAUUUUUAAACCUCAUUACAUUAAACAAUUAUUACGUCUAUUCUGUGUGUAUCAUGGAAACACCUAUGUACCACCUUACACAGGUGGCGGUCAGAAGUCAGUUCUCUCAUACUCUGGGAAUUAAACUCCAGGGUCAUGCCUGGCAACAAGCACCUUCACUCACUGAAGAGGAGGCAGGGAGAGGUGCAGGUGUGGAGGUCAAAAGAUAACCUGUAGAUGUUGGCCCCAGGAAUCCAUCGUGGCAUCAGUCUGGGUGGCAAGUGCUGUGACCUACCCAGCCAACGUGAUAGCCUGGCGUGUGUUUUUCAAUGGUUAAUAAAAGUCUGAAGUAUUUUGUGAGGUGUUGAAAUAUGACGAAGUCGGAAGUUCCAGUGUCCUAACUUUAAUGGGUACACAGCUCGUUUGUUGCUUGUGUGUUACUGUCCGUCACGUUUGUAUUGCAGCAUGCAGAGGUGCAUGGUUGCAGCAGAGACGACUCAGCCUGCAAAAGCCAACACUGACCAUCUAGUUGGAUAGAGAAAAGCUUGCUCAGCCCUGGACUGCACUAAAAGCAAGUCUCAUUUUGUGAGAAAGGCUAAGCAUGGUGACACAUGUCUGUAAUCCCAGCACUGACUGGGGAAGUGGAGGCAGGAGGAGCUGGAGAUCUGGAGACUUCGGUCCUUUCCUGAGACUUUCUACUUCCUGUCCAGAGAAGGUGCUUUCCACCUCUUCACCUGCCUGCAACAAGAACCCAGCGAUGGUGCGUUUGAAGGGGGUUGGGUGGAAAGGACACUCCUAUUUCCACUCAGAUCUCCACAGACCACAGGUCACUAACAGGGGGCUCCUUGGCUUCAAGAGAAGCACCCCUGAUUCAGUUCACUGGUUAGAGAGGGGAAGCAAAGUCUGUAAAACGUUGAGUUUGGGAUGGUGGCACAUGCCCAGCACCUCAGAGCCACGGGCAAGGAAGAUCGCCACAAACUUGAGGCCAGCCAGAGCUACAGAGGGGUCAGGCAAGAGAAAAUCCAGAAGGCUGCGGCUCCUGUCUCCUCCUCCACCCCACAUCCUGAUCCUUAAUGACCACUUGGUCCUCAGCUCUAGCCUCAGGACUGGUUUCUUGAAAGAGUAGCUUGUGACCGACACCCGGGCACCGGGCAGCAGCUGGUAUUUUAGUUUGUGCUCUGUUCCCUCCUGACCAGAGUGGAGUCUGCAUGAGUGGACGUGUGGAGGGAGUGGUGGAACUCAUCAGGGCCACCUUUGCAGCUGUGCACACCUGCUUACAGGGUGGGGGAGGGAGUCUGGUCGCUAAAUUUAGUAGGGCUGCUGCUACAAUGGAGUAGGUAUUUACCCCAGGAAGUUGAAGUCAGGGGGAGGGGAAUCCCUACCUGCUGGAGCUUUUAAAAAAUAAUGCAUGACCCAGGGCUUCAUGCAUGCAGAGUAAACUCUCACCAGCUGCUCCCCCAGCACAGCUGAGCUGAGAGCUGAGUUCUCUGGAGACUAGAACCAGCUCCUCCCCCGCAGGCACGCCGAGGAUCCUGUGGUCUUGUGCUGGCUUCUGCAUGCUUGAGCUCUCUGCAUGUCCUUUGCUCCUGUCACCACCACCCCCAUCAAGUCGCAGGUCCAGUUCCUCUUAGGUCCUUCCCUAAAUUCCCCCUCCUGCAUCAAAACCAGGGGCUUCACCACGCCGAGCUGCCCUUUGGGUCUUAACUUCCUUACUCAGACCCCAGAGGUCAGCAAAGCAGUGUCUGGCCACACUGCUCCUUCUAGGGCGCCAGGGGAAAGGUUGCUGUAAGUCAGGUUUCCUUGCCUAGGGAUGUCUACUGCUCUCGGUGACCAGAGGACAAGCCUUCGUUUAUAAUGAGGAAGAAGGCAGGACCUCCCCUCCUCCCCAGGGUAAGAGGCUGAAGGCUGGAAGCUCGGGGGCUCUCAGAAAAAGAAAGGCGGUCUUCGUGAUGUUGGGGGAACCCUAGAGGGCUGUGGCUGCAUUCUCCACCUGUGAUUGGCUCUCAGGCCUAGACCAGACUCUGAACCUGCCCAGCAACAGCCCUAAGAGGCUUGAAAAGGGAGGGGAAGUCAGCUGAGCUGUGGCCUCCACCCCAGCCCGGCUUCCAGGAACUGAAGGGAGGGCCUGAGACCGAAGCCACCCUCCCUUGCCCUGGGACUCUGCCCUCUGCCUGUGUCUGUCUCCCUGGGCCCUGCAUCCUUGCCUUCCAGGCUCACCAGAGAAAGAAACACAUCACACAGCUCUUCGGAGGCAGGGCAUUCUUUUUUCUUUCCUUUUUUUGGGGUGGUGGUGGUGGUGGUUUCGAGACAGGGUUUCCUUGUGUAGCCCUGGCUGUCCUGGAACUCGCUCUAUAGACCAGGCUGACUUUGAACUCACAGAGAUCCUCCUGCCUCUGCCUCCCAAGUGUUGGAAUUAAAGCUGUGCGCCACCAUCGCCUGGCAGAGGCAGGGCAUUCUUGUAGCCUCCUUGCCUAAGCCCUGCCAUGGACCAAAGUCAGUUUUGUUUUCCUGGUGUUUUUUGAGACAGAGUCUCACAGUAUAGCCCAGGCUGGCCUUGUGGUCCUCCUGCCUCAGCAGGAGUACGGGGGAGGGGGAGUCGCCCCAUGGCUUCAUUUCCUUCCCCACCCACGCCCCUCCCACUCUGCUGUCUUGUUUCUGCUCAGCCACAUCCAACCCAAGGACAGCCUGAGCUCCGAGGCAGUGCGCUAAAGGCUCUGCUACAGCAGAAGGUCCCACUUCUAGGGAGCCUAGACAUGCUCGGAAAACAGUGGUCACCCGGGGAAACUGUCUGCGGGCCUUUGCUGGUGGCCAAACUCAGCUUGCUGGAGAGGCAGGGACGGGUCAGAGCUUCCUCCGGAAGCGGGACCACAGCCCUCAGGACUGCAGGGGGUCGGGGAACAGUUGGCACUGGUGAAUAAAGCUGCCCCUUCACAUCA